rnacentral:rRNA from 1 species
CCUGAUCAGCCAUGCCGCGUGAGUGAAGAAGGCCUUCGGGUUGUAAAGCUCUUUCAGCCGGAACGAAACGGUCACGGCUAAUACCUGUGACUACUGACGGUACCGGAAAAAGAAGCACCGGCUAACUACGUGCCAGCAGCCGCGGUAAUAA